UUGUCUUUUAAUUAAGGACUGGAAUGAAAGGUUUGACUAUGUAUUUCUGUCUUAUAAUAAUAUUUUGAAAUUUAUAUUUUAGUAAAAAAGCUAAAAUUAUCUAUAGGGACGAGAAGACCCUAUCAAGUUUUACAAUCCAGAAUUUAUUUUCAAAUUAAAUUUUAAAUUGUUUUGCUGGGGCAGCAGAUAAAAAUUUUUUAUUUUAAAAUUAUGAUAAAUAAAUCUUGAAAAAUCAAAAAAUUUUUAAUUAAAAAUAAAUUACUGUAGGGAUAACAGCAUAAUUUUUUUAGAGAGUUCUUAUCAUCAAAAAAGUUUGUGACCUCGAUGUUGGAUUAAAAUUCCUAAUUCGUGCAAUAAUGAAAUAA
rnacentral:rRNA from 1 species